UGAGCAGGCUAUACAGCAGCGGAAACGCUUUUAGUUUACGAGGAAAGUCCGGACAUCACAGAGCAGGGUAACUGCUAACGGCAGCCGGAGGCGACUCCCGGGCAAGUGCAACAGAAAUAAACUGCCACUCUGGUGGUGAUGGUGGAAAGGUGCGGUAAGAGCGCACCAGAGUACAGGAGACUGUACUGCUAUGUAAACCCUACCUGAUGCAACGUCUAUUGGUGCUUUAUAUCUUAACGUCUGCUCGGCGGAUAUGAAGUAACGACGGCUUGAACUUUUCGGCGACGGAAAGUCUAGAUAAAUUGCUGUACUCGACAGAAUCCGGCUUAUCGGUUUGGUCACAUU
rnacentral:RNase_P_RNA from 1 species